CAGGUGUUAUGGUAAAGGGACAGCUUGGUGCUGUCAGCCUCACUGACCAUGCAUUUAUAAAACACCAGAGUGCGUGUGACGCUGCUGGGCACUGGAGACGGGACCAGGUGCUGCUGCACACGUAUGCACACGCCAUGCACACAUGCACACACACCACACAUGCAUGCAUACAGUGCACACGUGCACACACCAUGCAUACACACCACACACAGUGCACACGUGCACACACCAUGCAUACACACCACACAGUGCACACGUGCACACACCAUGCAUACACCACACAGUGCACACGUGCACACACCAUGCAUACACACACAAUGCACACGUGCACACACCAUGCAUACACACCACACAGUGCACACGUGCACAUUACCAUGCAUACACAGUGCACACGUGCACACACCAUGCAUACACACCACACAGUGCACACGUGCACACACCAUGCAUACACCACGCAUGCACAAUGCAUGUGCACACCAUGCAUACACACCACACAUGCAUCCACACACAAUGCACAGAUGUGCACACCAUGCAUACACACCAUGCAUGCAGAAUCACACGUGCACACACCAUACAUACCCACCACGCAUGCACACACACAAUGCACAGGUGCACACACCAUGCAUACACACCACACAAUGCAAUCAUGCACACGUGCACACACCAUGCAUACACACCACACAAUGCAAUCAUGCACACGUGCACACACCAUGCAUACAUACCACACAUGCACACACGUGUGCAUAAAGA
rnacentral:lncRNA from 1 species